rnacentral:rRNA from 1 species
AUGGGGGCAGUUUUAGAUAUAGUGAAUAAGCUUCCUCUUACUGACAAAGAAGAUCGAGUGGUUUGGAGUCUGAAUCAGAAUGGUAAGUUUAGUACCAAACCUGUUUAUAAAUGGCUAGAAAAACCUCUCAAUGGGUGCCAUUAUAAAUGGAUUUGGAAGGCCAAAAUCCCUUUAAAGAUCAAAAAAUUUAUGUGGCAACUCUCACAGAAUGCGGUGUUAACUCGGUAGGUGAUGCGCCAUAGGAAAUGGCCUGGGAAUCCUGUAUGUUCCUUUUGCAAUGAUAUAGAAACCUCACAGCACCUGUUCUUUACUUGUUCUGUUGCGAGGGUGGUGUGGAGAUCUGUUGGGGUGGCCAUUGGCACCGAUAAGUGUCCAGAUAACUGCUAG